rnacentral:rRNA from 1 species
GGGCACGUGCGGCGGACUACACAUGCAAGUCGAGCGGAUGAAGGGAGCUUGCUCCUGGAUUCAGCGGCGGACGGGUGAGUAAUGCCUAGGAAUCUGCCUGGUAGUGGGGGAUAACGUCCGGAAACGGGCGCUAAUACCGCAUACGUCCUGAGGGAGAAAGUGGGGGAUCUUCGGACCUCACGCUAUCAGAUGAGCCUAGGUCGGAUUAGCUAGUUGGUGGGGUAAAGGCCUACCAAGGCGACGAUCCGUAACUGGUCUGAGAGGAUGAUCAGUCACACUGGAACUGAGACACGGUCCAGACUCCUACGGGAGGCAGCAGUGGGGAAUAUUGGACAAUGGGCGAAAGCCUGAUCCAGCCAUGCCGCGUGUGUGAAGAAGGUCUUCGGAUUGUAAAGCACUUUAAGUUGGGAGGAAGGGCAGUAAGUUAAUACCUUGCUGUUUUGACGUUACCAACAGAAUAAGCACCGGCUAACUUCGUGCCAGCAGCCGCGGUAAUACGAAGGGUGCAAGCGUUAAUCGGAAUUACUGGGCGUAAAGCGCGCGUAGGUGGUUCAGCAAGUUGGAUGUGAAAUCCCCGGGCUCAACCUGGGAACUGCAUCCAAAACUACUGAGCUAGAGUACGGUAGAGGGUGGUGGAAUUUCCUGUGUAGCGGUGAAAUGCGUAGAUAUAGGAAGGAACACCAGUGGCGAAGGCGACCACCUGGACUGAUACUGACACUGAGGUGCGAAAGCGUGGGGAGCAAACAGGAUUAGAUACCCUGGUAGUCCACGCCGUAAACGAUGUCGACUAGCCGUUGGGAUCCUUGAGAUCUUAGUGGCGCAGCUAACGCGAUAAGUCGACCGCCUGGGGAGUACGGCCGCAAGGUUAAAACUCAAAUGAAUUGACGGGGGCCCGCACAAGCGGUGGAGCAUGUGG